CUCCCACUCCCGGAAAGGACCUGCGCGGGACCCGGCAAAUACGGUAGCACGCCCGCAGUGACCCGCCCCCGAGGGUCCGGCUCUGGCCUCGGCCAGGCCCACAAACCGCCCCCAGCGACAGGAAAGAGGGUCGGACGGAGGCGCCGGCCUUUCCCCGGGUGACAUGGGCUGAGCGCCGGAGCCCGGCGGCGGAGCGGCCCUGGGCGAGGGUUUCAGGACUGGAGACAAUAGUCAAAGGGGCCGAAUCGAGGAGCUGCCCUCGCUGACAGUUUCGCCAAAGUCUGCCUGACUAUAUGGCCUGGGUUAUAUCACUAGAGUGACCAGAGGGAAAGGAAGAAGACAUCAGGCCCCUGCUGACCCCACCUCCUCAGAACGGAACCCGCAGUCAAGCCAGAGAUAUCCCAUAAAAGAGCAACUUACGACGUCUGGAGUAGCAGCGGGCGUGAGAGGGCAGAACCAAAUUACAGCUUCCAGCUGCCAUUUAAUGAUAAUGUCCCUUACUCGGACAUAACUUUGCCUUUUACAAAGCCCUUUUCCAUGUUAUGAUCUCGUGGGAACCUUCCAAUAACCAUGUGCACCCUACCUUGUGUGGGUUUUAUCCCAUUUUAUAGACGGGAAAAUAAAAUUGAAACACAGAGUGGCUUCCUCCAACACUCACAGCUCUAAGUAGCAGAGCACAGACGGGAACACGGCACCGUGACCCAGCACCGUGGCCCAGCUUGUGUUCCACUGCACCGCCCUGGGACUGAGACCCUCAGACAUAAAUAGUGUGUGACGACAGGGAAGUAAAAACCUGGGCCCCAGUGAGAACGUGCCUGAGGGUGUACAUUUGACAGACAAAAAAACAGAGGCCUGAGAGGAAAAGUUAUUUUAAAAGUCACAAGUAGUAGAAGAACAUUAAAUAGGCUUUUUUCUCUGUGGCCUCUCUGUAGCUGCCAGGUGGAGAAACGCGACUCUCUCUCCAAGGCCCAGGCAGGGAUCCUUGCAGCAGACAAUGGAUGUGGUGGUUGGGGUGGCGCUGUGCCUGAUGGAGGGCAUUGAGAGAUGCGGGCCUCCCGAUACCAUGAGGGUCCUCUCUGCAGCUCUGCAGGUGCCCACUGUGCCUUCUGGAGCCUGGGAACUGAAGAAUUCCAGGGUUCCCCAGAAGCUGCCGUAGAGAGGAGAGAGGACCCCAGCAGACCACAGCUCACAUCAACCAGAGCAACCUCACAGUGACUCAGGAUCCCAGAGGAAACUGAGACCACGAAGGACCCCUGAUGUGCCCAGAGUCAUGGAGGUGAUGAAUGGCAGAGCUGGACAAAAACCCAG
rnacentral:lncRNA from 1 species